rnacentral:lncRNA from 1 species
GAUCUUGGCUCACUGAAACCUCCGUCUCCUGGGUUCAAGCGAUUCUCCUGCCUCAGCUUCCCAAGUAGCUGGGACUACAGGCAUGCGCCACCACACCUGGCUAAUUUUUGCAUUUUUAGUAGAGAUGGGGUUUCACCAUGUUGGCCAGGCUGGUCUCGAACUCCUGACCUCAGGCAAUUCACCCGCCUCAGCCUCCCAAAGUGCUGGGAUUACAGAUGUGAGCCACCACACCUGGCCCCCUCAGUCUUACAGAAA